GAUGAACGCUGGCGGCGUGCUUAACACAUGCAAGUCGAACGAAGCACUUUAUUUGAUUUCCUUCGGGACUGAUUAUUUUGUGACUGAGUGGCGGACGGGUGAGUAACGCGUGGGUAACCUGCCUUGCACAGGGGGAUAACAGUUGGAAACGGCUGCUAAUACCGCAUAAGCGCACAGCAUCGCAUGAUGCAGUGUGAAAAACUCCGGUGGUAUAAGAUGGACCCGCGUUGGAUUAGCUAGUUGGUGAGGUAACGGCCCACCAAGGCGACGAUCCAUAGCCGACCUGAGAGGGUGACCGGCCACAUUGGGACUGAGACACGGCCCAAACUCCUACGGGAGGCAGCAGUGGGGAAUAUUGCACAAUGGGCGAAAGCCUGAUGCAGCGACGCCGCGUGAGCGAAGAAGUAUUUCGGUAUGUAAAGCUCUAUCAGCAGGGAAGAUAAUGACGGUACCUGACUAAGAAGCACCGGCUAAAUACGUG
rnacentral:rRNA from 1 species